rnacentral:rRNA from 1 species
GAGUUUGAUCUUGGCUCAGGACGAACGCUGGAGGCAUGCCUAAUACAUGCAAGUCGAGCGGACUUGAAGAGAAGCUUGCUUCUCUGAUGGUUAGCGGCGGACGGGUGAGUAACACGUAGGCAACCUGCCCUCAAGUUUGGGACAACUACCGGAAACGGUAGCUAAUACCGAAUAGUCGUUUUCUUCUCCUGAAGAGGACUGGAAAGACGGAGCAAUCUGUCACUUGGGGAUGGGCCUGCGGCGCAUUAGCUAGUUGGUGGGGUAACGGCUCACCAAGGCGACGAUGCGUAGCCGACCUGAGAGGGUGAUCGGCCACACUGGGACUGAGACACGGCCCAGACUCCUACGGGAGGCAGCAGUAGGGAAUCUUCCGCAAUGGGCGAAAGCCUGACGGAGCAAUGCCGCGCGAGUGAUGAAGGUUUUCGGAUCGUAAAGCUCUGUUGCCAGGGAAGAACGCUUGGGAGAGUAACUGCUCUCAAGGUGACGGUACCUGAGAAGAACGCCCGGACUAAC